CGCAGCUGUGGCUCCCAUUUUUGGAGAUGCAGUCGAAUUUGAGCUCACAGGGAGGUGUGGUUGCCUCCUGGGGAUGGAAAGGCUUCCUUUCUCCACCUCUGUAACUGGUGCUUCUGAGAAGUAAAUGGUAUUUGGAUCCUGACCUCAGACGCGAAUUUGGGUCUUCUGUGCUUAGGAGCAGAAAGAGCCCAGGAGGGGCCUGUUCCUUUACUUCUUGGGGGAAACGCAAUGCGUGGCCUGACUUCUCAUGACGGGAAAGGCUACUCCACCUUCUCUGUACUCCUGGAGGGGAGUCUUGUUCACAUGUUUACCAGCGGCCAGGACAAGGAAGAGAAAAGGUUACGUCAUGACUUCUGCAGGGCUGUCCUUGGUUCCUACUGCAGGGCGCCUGUGUGGUUGGGAUUCCUUUUCUGUUUCAAGAUGGAGCUGGGUUCCACCCUUGGAGCUUUGAGAGGCUUUAGCAGUUGCUGUCCUGUAAUACCUCCGUUCCCAAGAAAUACCGUUCACAUUUCGCUUCUUUUUCACACUUUGAAUAGGAGUUAAAAUGUGCUUUCUGUAGUGUUUGGAAAAUGGCAAAGAUAUAUUGUAAUGUGAGCCCGAACUGUUGUUGAUAAAUGUAUAACUAUUGCUAGGUCAAGAAAUUGUGAACAACAGUGUUUUGCUUGGUCCGUAGCUAUAUUGUGUUAAAUAUAAACUGAGUUUACU
rnacentral:lncRNA from 1 species